CUGAAGAAGUGCCAAAAUUUACAUGCUUACCCAUAUUUUGAUAUUCUCAUAUUUUGACAUCCAACCAAGCAAAUUUAAUAUAAUUAAAAAAGCAUUAGAGUCCAGCAUUGAGAUUACUUAACAACCCACUCACAAGGCCCCCGAUCACCGGCCCAACCAAUCCUGCCCUACUUCUCCAGUCUCCUCGCCGCCCACAAUUCCAACCCCAACCGUAUAUCUCUCUCAAAUCCUGCGGUCGGCGGCGUCGUGUUGAGGGGACGAGGGACUCACGGUCGGGGAAGCGCGGAGUGCUACAACUGCAACUUAAGCAGGCAUCAAUCAAGAGAUCAAUUGAACUCCAAAAUUUGGUGCCGGUGUGCUAUUGUGGUCUUAGGUAAUGUGGAAAAAAGAACUUUUUGGUUAAUAUGUUUAUUGUUUGCUAUGGCACCGUCACUGCACCCUCCUUUUAUUGGCUGGUUGUUUCUUCUCUGUUUUCAAACUCUAUACUAUAUGAUAUACUGAUAUAGUUAUCGUGAAGUGCUGGUUUUACGCUAUUUCUGGUACUAUUGAAACCAAACAGUUUCAAAUAGUAAUUGCAAUUCUCAUAACCUAGAGCUGUUUUUAUGCUAUCUCUUAUUGCUACUUUCUUAUUGUGGUAAGGAUUAUGCACGGUGCACCCAAAAUAUGUUUCUAUUCAAUUACUAGAUUCACUUAAGAAAGUAGCAAUGGUGCAGUGCAUGGUACUAAAUUGUGUGGUUUACAAUGUGUGGGACUAACAUCAAACUGAGAAAAUAUAGUUCCUUCAGUUUUGAGACUAGAUUUAUUACCUUUUUUGUUGGCCUCCAUACCGACUGUAUUUUCUCCUUGAUGUACAUUCAGAUCGAAAUCCAAUGGAACUAACUUUUCCGGUAAAUAUAAAAGUCGAUAUAAUCAUGCAAGAGAAGAUGAAGAGAGAGAGGGAGAGGGAGAGGGAGAGGGAACAUAUGACUUGCCACUAGCAAGUCUGUCAAUAAUGCUUGCAAGUGGGCCCCACCUGUCAAAUUUUGGAAACGAAUUUUGAGAACCAACAGAUACAAAAACUUAUGAUGCAUAACAUCAAACAAAUGAUUCGAACUUUUGAUGUGCAGUUUAGUACCCUUCUUUUAGACCAAAGAACCUUUUCAGCACUCUUUAUUGAGGCCAAUCUAAUGCUGCUUGAAGCUUAGCACUUCAACAUCACUGUAUUUGUUGUAGAUUAUUCCUUUUUUGUAGUUCAAAUUUCUAUUCGCACAAGCAAUCGUGCAAAUGUAGUUUUAAAUUAGGUUUGGUGGUUAUGUGCCACAUUUCUGGUAUUAAUGUUAUUACUAGAAAGCAGGCUCGGCGUUGCCGAGCCACCCCAUGGCUUGCGAAAUGGAGCACUAACGUUUCUUCGGCAUGAUGUGCCUCAUAUUUUUAUUAUGUAAUUGUUCGUGUUCUAUUUUCUUUUUACUGGAUUGGACGGUAAGUGGGCUUGUUGGACCCCAUUUCUGCUAACACAGACAUAAUAGGAUGAGACAUGCAAUUUGCAGUGGCCAAUUGUCAUAAAUUAGAGGAAAAUGAUCAUGACAAAAGAAGCAGCAAAUAUAAAAGGGUAAAAGCUUAAAGGAACAUUGUCAGGGUACUGCACAGACUGCCUCGUGCAAGGAAAUGACAGUGUCACUAUUGAAAUAGCACAGAGGUAGCCUAGUUUCACUUUUGCUCGAUCAUGCUUCAAGAGGGGACGAGAUUAGCUGAAAUUAUAAUCAAGAGGGGACGGGAUUAGCUGAAAUUAUAAUACCGACAGAUGCCUGGAUUGCUCAAUUCAGUGCAACUCAGAAAAUGUUAAAACAUCAUCAGCUCUGUCCCUUGCAUUUUAUCUCUUGUAUAUGACAUCCUAAUCGUACUCCCACUGUCCAUCCAAAUGUCAGUAAGGUGGAGAAGACAGAUAGACACGUUUGAUGUGGUGGCUGUAGCAAUUACAGUAGAAAACAAGUUUCAAUUUGAUGCGAACGGAGCAGCUAUAAUUCAUAUAUGUUUCUGUAGAAGGCUUUCCCAUAGGAGCACCAGUAAGCUGACAUGAGCUUUUAUUCUAUUUUCUAUUUAGUCUUGCACAAUGCACAUAUCAGUUUGCUUGUGUUUAUCUUCAGCAUGAAUCUUUUUCAUUUCAAUUUCGUGUAUGUCUUUAGUAUACUUCUUAAGUGUAUCUGUUCAUUCACUUAUGUAAAAUAUGUAAAUACAGGCAAAUGUAGUAUAAUAGGUACCAAAUGUUAUUCAACGUUCAUAAUCUAUGUCAUUAUAUAUAUUUGCUAAGAUCUGCACUAUGGUUUUUUUUUAUACUCCUGCUAGUAAUCCUAGCAAAGAAGCAUUUCACUGCUCAACUAUUUCGAGAUGGUUUGGUGCUUGAUAAAGUGAUAUAGUAUGCAUUGUGGGAAAUUGUAGUUAUAACUAAUUUUCAAAUGUGCGCAGUUAUGUAAAUCAAACUUCUGAGAUCGAUAGACACCAUAAUUUGUUUGAAAAAAAAACAGAGGUGCCCUAUGUAAGAGGUACAUAGCAUGAUAAGAUGCUGAGUUUGAGAUAAAUGUAUAAAACUCCAAAAUAUCUUCCACUCAUCGAUAGUUUUAUAAUAAUCUAUUCAAUGAUUUAGAUUGGUGUCAAUACUAAGAGCAAUGUCCUAAGGUCUGAAUCAUGGAUAAACAUCGUGCUUAGCAGUUCAAUGAUUUAUUGGACAAAAGAUGUUUCAUACUUAUGGUUGACAUUUUACCUAGUGAUCUCAUCUAGACGGAUCAAUGUCAGAAGCCUUUCUUCCUGCAAAUAUGUAACCUCAAAUGCCUUAAUUGGGGAGGUAACUAUUGAUACUUCAGAACACCAAAAUUUUGUGUGUCGAAGAGAAUUACGAUGAUUAACAAGCAUCAAAGAAUAGCAAGUACAAUUUGAACAGGUACCUAGAUCGAAGGCUGGAAAGGGCAGUUGCAGAGCCAUCUUGUAAGGAAGCCUCGGUCCUAAGUAGAAUGGGGCAGCCGCAGCACCACCAUCCGGUCCUCCGCAUCGGCGUCGACUCCGGCGGUGACCCAGCAACAACUCGGCAGGAGGAGGCGCCCGGGCCGACGUCGACCCGGCGGGAGGAAGCGCGCAGGCUGGCCCGGGGCUUGGGCACGCGGCCGGCGCGGGCGCGCAGGGGCUCGGCCUCAUCCGCGGGGACGACUCUAGCGACGAUCCAGCAGCAACCCGGCGGGAGGAACCGUGCAGGAUCGGCCGGGGUGGGGGCUUGGGAGCGCGGCCGGCGCAGUCACGCGGGGGCACGGCCGGCGCGGGGGCUUGGGCUCGCGGCCGGCGCGGACGUGCGGUGGCUCAGCCUCAUCCACGUGGACUUCGGCGGAGACUCAACAGCAACCCGGCGGAAGGAGACGCUCGGGCCGGCGGCGCGAGGCGGAGGUGACGAGAUCGGUCGAGGAGCUUCUAUCGAGUCCAUUGCUUAAUGGGUCAAGACCCGAAUCGAUCCGCAAUCGGAUGGUUCAAAUUGUGCCCUGGCCAGAUCCAACGGUAGCGGAUUAACGGGUGACGUGGACCCGCUACCCGGCCAGAGAAUGGACCCAGCUUUCGAUUCUUAGAGAUUUGGACAAGUUUGCAGUGAUUAUUAUCAUUCUUUUGUUUGGGGAUAGGGGAGUCAGAACAUGAAAUCAGUAGAAACUAUUGGUAUUGAUAGAACGGAUAAGACUACACUUCUCUUCUAAGAACUCUGUGUACACCAAGGUGGGUUGAUGUAAAACAGAAAGCAACUGGUGCUUUUUAUGUUAAUAUAGAACUAUAAAUGGAAUUGCUUUGAUGUGUUUGUAUAAUGUUCAGUUGCACUGGCAGACAUUAGAAACAUUUGACAUUUCCUUUUAAAUUUACAGGAUGCGCCCUACUAGAUUUAGGAUGCCUCUGCCUGAGGACCCAUCUCCAGACCCUGAUCCAUAUGCAACUUUUCGCUCACUUGUCCGAGUUAUUUCUGAGUUUGGAUUUGUCUCUUCCAUCAUUGCGGGAAUUUGCAUCCAAAGAAAUGGAAUGAUCCAUCAAACAAGCCCGGCAGCUGCUGUUACAAAAUUACUAGUUUUAGUUGCAGGAACUGCUGCUUCUGGAGCGAACAUUUUAUUUUUAUAUGAUGAUUCAGUCUUUGCGCCCAAAUAUCCUAAUUUAGCACCGCUGGUGCUACCUCAGCGAAGGAGGAGAAUCGUUCGAGCACGAAGGAGACAAGGGAGUGGAUAGGCCAAACAUACAAUGGGAAUUAUUAAUUUGUGAGCACUGAAGUAAAUUCUGGCGCUGAUUCUGUGCGGUUUGGCCCUUGUGAAAUGAUCUCUGACUGCAUGCUGCUUGUGUUGGAUAAGUUAUGUUCCUUUUGUUUAUCUACAAAUAUGUUAUGAGUUACAUGUCUCAAAUAGAUGUUCAUUCAUAUGAUUUCUAAUAUAUAAACUGUGUGUCUCCUAUAUUGAUAAUCGAUAAUUUGAAGCAAAGAUUUGAAGCGAAGUA